rnacentral:rRNA from 1 species
AAGAAACUAACAAGGAUUCCCCUAGUAACUGCGAGUGAAGCGGGAAAAGCUCAAAUUUAAAAUCUGGCAGUCUUUGGCUGUCCGAGUUGUAGUCUGGAGAAGUGUUUUCCGCGCUGGACCGUGUACAAGUCUCCUGGAACGGAGCGUCAUAGAGGGUGAGAAUCCCGUCUUUGACACGGACUACCAGUGCUUUGUGAUGCGCUCUCAAAGAGUCGAGUUGUUUGGGAAUGCAGCUCAAAAUGGGUGGUAAACUCCAUCUAAAGCUAAAUAUUGGCGAGAGACCGAUAGCGAACAAGUACCGUGAGGGAAAGAUGAAAAGCACUUUGGAAAGAGAGUUAAACAGUACGUGAAAUUGCUGAAAGGGAAACGCUUGAAGUCAGUCGCGUUUGCUAGGACUCAGCCUUGCAUUCGCUAAGGUGCAUUUCCUAGUAGACGGGCCAGCAUCACUUUUGGCUGCGGGAAAAAGGUCAGAGGAAUGUGGCACCUUCGGGUGUGUUAUAGCCUCUGGCUGUAUACCGUGGCUGGGAGUGAGGAACUCAGCACGCCUUCAUGGCGGGGCUUCGGCCACCUUCGUGCUUAGGAUGCUGGCGUAAUGGCUUUAAACGACCCGUCUUGAAACACGGACCAAGGAGUCUAACAUGCCUGCGAGUGUUUGGGUGGAAAACCCGAGCGCGUAAUGAAAGUGAAAGUUGGGACCUCUGUCGUGGAGGGCACCGACGCCCGGACCAGACCUUCUGUGACGGAUCCGCGGUAGAGCAUGUAUGUUGGGACCCGAAAGAUGGUGAACUAUGCCUGAAUAGGGUGAAGCCAGAGGAAACUCUGGUGGAGGCUCGUAGCGAUUCUGACGUGCAAAUCGAUCGUCAAAUUUGGGUAUAGGGGCGAAAGACUAAUCGAACCAUCUAGUAGCU